CCUACGGGGGGCAGCAGUGGGGAAUAUUGGACAAUGGGCGAAAGCCUGAUCCAGCCAUGCCGCGUGUGUGAAGAAGGCCUUCGGGUUGUAAAGCACUUUCAGUGGGGAAGAAAGCCUUGGGGCUAAUACCCUCGAGGAAGGACAUCACCCACAGAAGAAGCACCGGCUAACUCCGUGCCAGCAGCCGCGGUAAUACGGAGGGUGCGAGCGUUAAUCGGAAUUACUGGGCGUAAAGCGCGCGUAGGCGGUCUGAUAAGCCGGUUGUGAAAGCCCCGGGCUCAACCUGGGAACGGCAUCCGGAACUGUCAGGCUAGAGUGCAGGAGAGGAAGGUAGAAUUCCCGGUGUAGCGGUGAAAUGCGUAGAGAUCGGGAGGAAUACCAGUGGCGAAGGCGGCCUUCUGGACUGACACUGACGCUGAGGUGCGAAAGCGUGGGUAGCAAACAGGAUUAGAUACCCCAGAGUC
rnacentral:rRNA from 1 species